AUCACAGACAUUUUCUGUUCCAUCGUCAAACAGUUUUUAUCCUUAAGAAGUUACCUAACAUUAGGAGAACCUUCUUAAGGGUGAAAACUGUUGGACGAUGGAACAGAAAAUGUCAAAAAGUGAU